CAAUAGCGUAUAUUAAAGUUGUUGCGGUUAAAAAGCUCGUAGUUGGAUUUCUGCCGAGGACGACCGGUCCGCCCUCUGGGUGAGUAUCUGGCUCGGCCUGGGCAUCUUCUUGGAGAACGUAGCUGCACUUGACUGUGUGGUGCGGUAUCCAGGACUUUUACUUUGAGGAAAUUAGAGUGUUUCAAGCAGGCUUACGCCUUGAAUACAUUAGCAUGGAAUAAUAAGAUAGGACCUCGGUUCUAUUUUGUUGGUUUCUAGAGCUGAGGUAAUGAUUAAUAGGGAUAGUUGGGGGCAUUCGUAUUUAACUGUCAGAGGUGAAAUUCUUGGAUUUGUUAAAGACGGACUACUUCGAAAGCAUUUGCCAAGGAUGUUUUCAUUGA
rnacentral:rRNA from 1 species